rnacentral:rRNA from 1 species
UGGGGAAUAUUGGACAAUGGGCGAAAGCUGAUCCAGCCAUGCCGCGUGUGUGAAGAAGGUCUUCGGAUUGUAAAGCACUUUAAGUUGGGAGGAAGGGUAGUAACUUAAUACGUUGCUACUUUGACGUUACCGACAGAAUAAGCACCGGCUAACUUCGUG